rnacentral:snRNA from 1 species
AGCUUUGUGCAGUAGCAGUAUCCUUGCCAAUGAGGUUUAUCUGAGGCAAGAUUAUUGCUAAUUAAAAUAAAACUUAUGACACUUUCUGCUUACUUAAUGGUCAGUUUCUCUUCAGUAUUGUAGGAUCCUAGAGGGU